rnacentral:rRNA from 1 species
AGAGUUUGAUCCUGGCUCAGGACGAACGCUGGCGGCGUGCCUAAUACAUGCAAGUCGAGCGGAUCUUCAUUAGCUUGCUUUUGAAGAUCAGCGGCGGACGGGUGAGUAACACGUGGGCAACCUGCCUGUAAGACUGGGAUAACUUCGGGAAACCGGAGCUAAUACCGGAUAAUCCUUUUCCUCUCAUGAGGAAAAGCUGAAAGACGGUUUCGGCUGUCACUUACAGAUGGGCCCGCGGCGCAUUAGCUAGUUGGUGAGGUAACGGCUCACCAAGGCGACGAUGCGUAGCCGACCUGAGAGGGUGAUCGGCCACACUGGGACUGAGACACGGCCCAGACUCCUACGGGAGGCAGCAGUAGGGAAUCUUCCGCAAUGGACGAAAGUCUGACGGAGCAACGCCGCGUGAGCGAUGAAGGCCUUCGGGUCGUAAAGCUCUGUUGUCAGGGAAGAACAAGUAUCGGAGUAACUGCCGGUACCUUGACGGUACCUGACCAGAAAGCCACGGCUAACUACGUGCCAGCAGCCGCGGUAAUACGUAGGUGGCAAGCGUUGUCCGGAAUUAUUGGGCGUAAAGCGCGCGCAGGCGGUUCCUUAAGUCUGAUGUGAAAGCCCCCGGCUCAACCGGGGAGGGUCAUUGGAAACUGGGGAACUUGAGUGCAGAAGAGGAGAGCGGAAUUCCACGUGUAGCGGUGAAAUGCGUAGAGAUGUGGAGGAACACCAGUGGCGAAGGCGGCUCUCUGGUCUGUAACUGACGCUGAGGCGCGAAAGCGUGGGGAGCGAACAGGAUUAGAUACCCUGGUAGUCCACGCCGUAAACGAUGAGUGCUAAGUGUUAGAGGGUUUCCGCCCUUUAGUGCUGCAGCAAACGCAUUAAGCACUCCGCCUGGGGAGUACGGCCGCAAGGCUGAAACUCAAAGGAAUUGACGG